rnacentral:rRNA from 1 species
GACGAACGCUGGCGGCGUGCCUAAUACAUGCAAGUCGAGCGAAGUUUUUCUGGUGCUUGCACUAGAAAAACUUAGCGGCGAACGGGUGAGUAACACGUAAAGAACCUGCCUCAUAGACUGGGACAACUAUUGGAAACGAUAGCUAAUACCGGAUAACAGUAUUUCUCGCAUGAGAGAUAUUUAAAAGUUGGUUAUGCUAACACUAUGAGAUGGCUUUGCGGUGCAUUAGCUAGUUGGUGGGGUAAAGGCCCACCAAGGCGACGAUGCAUAGCCGACCUGAGAGGGUGAUCGGCCACACUGGGACUGAGACACGGCCCAGACUCCUACGGGAGGCAGCAGUAGGGAAUCUUCCGCAAUGGGCGAAAGCCUGACGGAGCAACGCCGCGUGAGUGAAGAAGGAUUUCGGUUCGUAAAGCUCUGUUGUUAGGGAAGAAUGGAUAUGUAGUAACUAUACAU